UACAGAGGUCUCGAGCGUUAGGCGGAAUCACUGGGCUUAAAGCGUGUGUAGGUGGAUCGUUAAGUACCUUGUGAAAUCCCACGGCUUAACCGUGGAACUGCUUGGUAUACUGGCGGUCUUGAGCCACUUAGGGGCUACCGGAACAAAUGGUGGAGCGGUGAAAUGCGUAGAGAUCCGGAAGAACACCGGUGGCGAAGGCGGUCUGCUGGGCAGUAGCUGGACACUGAGGCGCGACAGCGUGGGGAGCAAACAGG
rnacentral:rRNA from 1 species